CCUACGGGCGGCAGCAGUGGGGAAUAUUGGACAAUGGGCGAAAGCCUGAUCCAGCCAUGCCGCGUGUGUGAAGAAUGCCUUCGGGUUGUAAAGCACUUUCAGUGGGGAAGAAAGCCUUGGGGCUAAUACCCUCGAGGAAGGACAUCACCCACAGAAGAAGCACCGGCUAACUCCGUGCCAGCAGCCGCGGUAAUACGGAGGGUGCGAGCGUUAAUCGGAAUUACUGGGCGUAAAGCGCGCGUAGGCGGUCUGAUAAGCCGGUUGUGAAAGCCCCGGGCUCAACCUGGGAACGGCAUCCGGAACUGUCAGGCUAGAGUGCAGGAGAGGAAGGUAGAAUUCCCGGUGUAGCGGUGAAAUGCGUAGAGAUCGGGAGGAAUACCAGUGGCGAAGGCGGCCUUCUGGACUGACACUGACGCUGAGGUGCGAAAGCGUGGGUAGCAAACAGGAUUAGAUACCCGGGUAGUC
rnacentral:rRNA from 1 species